CUUUCACACACGCUGACAACAGAGGACCAGGUCUGAGCAUCCUGAGCGCUUUGUAUCGAGACACAUGUCUGGGGGAGAACAUGCGUGCUGCUGUCCCGGGUUUCACUUCUCCUGUGUGGGUCAACCCCUUGUGAAAAGGCAGCGAGAGCCCUGGUUCCUUUUGUUCUGGUGACCCAGGUUCCAUCCACCAUCCAGACUCUACUGGAGGAGCUGCCUCAAAAACCUGGACCAGGACUCUAACAAAACCACAUCCAUGGAACACUG